rnacentral:rRNA from 1 species
AACGAACGCUGGCGGCAGGCCUAACACAUGCAAGUCGAGCGCACCUUCGGGUGAGCGGCGGACGGGUUAGUAACGCGUGGGAAUAUACCCUUCACUACGGAAUAGCCUCGGGAAACUGAGAGUAAUACCGUAUACGCCCUUCGGGGGAAAGAUUUAUCGGUGAAGGAUUAGCCCGCGUCUGAUUAGAUAGUUGGUGGGGUAAUGGCCUACCAAGUCUACGAUCAGUAGCUGGUUUGAGAGGAUGAUCAGCAACACUGGGACUGAGACACGGCCCAGACUCCUACGGGAGGCAGCAGUGGGGAAUCUUAGACAAUGGGCGCAAGCCUGAUCUAGCCAUGCCGCGUGAGUGACGAAGGCCUUAGGGUCGUAAAGCUCUUUCGCCAGAGAUGAUAAUGACAGUAUCUGGUAAAGAAACCCCGGCUAACUCCGUGCCAGCAGCCGCGGUAAUACGGAGGGGGUUAGCGUUGUUCGGAAUUACUGGGCGUAAAGCGUACGUAGGCGGAUUGGAAAGUUGGGGGUGAAAUCCCGGGGCUCAACCCCGGAACUGCCUCCAAAACUAUCAGUCUAGAGUUCGAGAGAGGUGAGUGGAAUUCCAAGUGUAGAGGUGAAAUUCGUAGAUAUUUGGAGGAACACCAGUGGCGAAGGCGGCUCACUGGCUCGAUACUGACGCUGAGGUACGAAAGUGUGGGGAGCAAACAGGAUUAGAUACCCUGGUAGUCCACACCGUAAACGAUGAAUGCCAGACGUCGGGGGGCUUGCCCUUCGGUGUCACACCUAACGGAUUAAGCAUUCCGCCUGGGGAGUACGGUCGCAAGAUUA